CCUACGGGCGGCUGCAGUGGGGAAUAUUGGACAAUGGGGGCAACCCUGAUCCAGCCAUGCCGCGUGUGUGAAGAAGGCCCUCGGGUUGUAAAGCACUUUCAGUGAGGAAGAACGCCUGGUGGUUAAUACCCAUCAGGAAAGACAUCACUCACAGAAGAAGCACCGGCUAACUCCGUGCCAGCAGCGGCGGUAAUACGGAGGGUGCGAGCGUUAAUCGGAAUUACUGGGCGUAAAGCGCGCGUAGGUGGCUUGAUAAGCCGGUUGUGAAAGCCCCGGGCUCAACCUGGGAACGGCAUCCGGAACUGUCAAGCUAGAGUGCAGGAGAGGAAGGUAGAAUUCCCGGUGUAGCGGUGAAAUGCGUAGAGAUCGGGAGGAAUACCAGUGGCGAAGGCGGCCUUCUGGACUGACACUGACACUGAGGUGCGAAAGCGUGGGUAGCAAACAGGAUUAGAUACCCCAGUAGUC
rnacentral:rRNA from 1 species